UGGGGAAUUUUGGACAAUGGGCGCAAGCCUGAUCCAGCAAUGCCGCGUGCAGGAUGAAGGCCUUCGGGUUGUAAACUGCUUUUGUACGGAACGAAAAAGCUCUCUCUAGUACAGGGGGUGAAUGACGGUACCGUAAGAAUAAGCACCGGCUAACUACGUGCCAGCAGCCGCGGUAAUACGUAGGGUGCACGCGUUAAUCGGAAUUACUGGGCGUAAAGCGUGCGCAGGCGGUUUUGUAAGACAG
rnacentral:rRNA from 1 species